rnacentral:lncRNA from 1 species
UGGUUGUAUUUUUCGGAACAAUAGGCAGCAGUUGGCACAACAACUUGAGCUACUUGAGGGAAUAGUGGCAUCUGAUUGAGCUUGCGCCAAGCUGACACAGCAUAUUGCUCCGCUUUUGGUUCGUACUUGGAGUAAAGUUCCUUGGCUGCUAGCUCGUACUUGGUGUAAACGGAUUUUGCCAUUCCUGAGGCGGUGCCGGCUACACCGGCAGUCUUCACUUCAGAAGCCACGGAUCGUGCCACUACUGGAGCCAUUUGAGCCGCGGAGAGAGCUUGGGCAGGGACUUGCUUGAGGACUGGAGGCACACGGCAGUCCAGCUUGGUCACAGACUCAUC